rnacentral:pre_miRNA from 1 species
AAGGCUUUGCCACACUCAUUACACCGGUGACUUUUGGAGUGACUGUGGAUUCUCUGAUGGUGGGUGAGGAGCAGGGCUUGA